UCCGAAUUUUCUGGUUGGAAAGAGAUCUCCACCGCGAUACAAUUUAUUGUAGCGGGAUUUUUUUUUUUUUCAGUUCUUCUUCUAUUCCCUGUUGCCCGCUCUGUCCAUUUUCACAGCUUAGGAUGUAAGUGAGGAAAGCUAAGCCCAAGCUGGAAAGGGAACAGAAACGAAAAAACCUCACCUUUGCCCAAGAGUGAUGGCCAGAAGCCUAAAUGGCGUCAGGUACCAGAUUUUAAUGAUUGCUGGAAGUAAGGUGCGUUUGUGUGGCCAGCAGAAGAGAAAAGAGUUGAACCCAUGCUCCCAGCUGGCACUGGUGAUUAGUCAUGAGACAGGACAAAAGAAAAGAGCAGAAGAGACUUGGCAGUUACAGCAGUUCAGCACAACCAUUGUGUGAAUGAGUAACCAUAGCCCAGAGAGGCGAAGUGAUUUGCCCAAGCUGCACAGCAAGUAAGGGCCAAAGGCAGUAUUAGACCACAGACUCUCAAUGCUGGUCCAGUGCUAUGCUUCUGCCUCAUUGCACUAGAGAGAGACGAUGAAACCACAAGAACCAGGAUUAAGAAAAUAAUAAUAACCAGGAUACCAGAGCAGACGGUGUCGUCAGUGUUUCAUGUCUAAGAAGUUACCGAGCAUGCUUCUUGGGUCACUGUAUGAAAUCCCAAGGAAGACAAAGGACUCAUGAGAGGAGUGGGGUCCAUUUUAGACCAAGGCAGCAGGAGGCGAACUUGGGUGGUGUGAUUUUCUAUUUCUUAAUACUCUGUUCACAGGGUACCUCGAUUCGUCCAGCCCAAGGGACUUUGCAUACUGUUGGGUGGUAUGGACUUGCCAAAUAAAAUGUAGGAUGCCCUUUGAAACUUCUUUCUCCCCCAGAUUUCUAUGUUGAAGCCCUCACACCAUUAUGAUGGCAUUGGAGGUGAGACCUUUGGGAAGGAGGUGAGGUUAGGUGAGAUGUGAGGGUGAGGCUCCCAUGACGGGGUGGAUGCCCUUAGAAACCCAGGAAGAGACACAAGCUUCCUGGUUUUCUCUCUGCCUUUCUGUCUCUGUCUGCCUCUGUCUCUCUCUUCUCUGGGAAAGCGCUGAAGAAAGGCCAUGUGAGCACACAUUGGUGGCCAUCUGCCACCAAGGAAGCAAACCCUUACCAGGAACUGAAUCUGCCAACACCUUGACCUUGGACUUCUGUCUUCCAGAACUGAAUACCCAGAAAUAAAGAUCUGUUGAUUGAGGCACCAGUCAGUGGCUGCUUUGUGAUGGCAGCCCCAGCUAAGAAACUAGAGAAACCUAUAAUCUGGCAGCUCUAGGUGGUGGCACUGUUCAUGCUUCAUUGAAAGAGAUGUGGUUGGACCCGUGCUCCCAGGGGCGCCUGAUGGGAGACCAGUCAGCAAGCGAGAGUGGCAGAAGUGAGGAGCCUAUGUGGGCCCAACCCCCCAUCCCCUGGAUCUGGAACCACAGCCCAGAGAGGGCUGUUUCUGACCCUGGGAGUCCAUGAAGCAGAUGUCAUCCAAGCCCAGGCAGGAGAUAGCUGUGCCAGAGAACUGAGCCCCCCACUUCAGGGGGACCCCUAGGGGGAGACGCCUCAAGAAGGGCCCUGUCCUGUUGGAGGAAGGUGGAAGGUACUAUUGGGUGAAUCCUACAGGAUGUGGCCGGGCUACCACUGAGCCUCCAGAAGCAGGCCCAGCCCUAUAACUGGACCCCUGUAGGGGUGGCCAGGGAGGGCUGGCUGGGAACCCCCUGCAUCACCCAGCACACCCUCUCUGCCCACGUUAUGCUGGCAGGCCUGAGCCUGGUUCCUGCAGAUGAGGAAGCAGGGCAGUCAUGUCCUAUGGCUCUGGUCUG